CCUGCCGCACAUAUACACCCAUACACGCAUACCGUCUGCACACACACACACACACACGCCUGCGCCCUGUACAGCAUAGCACGUCAUUUUCGCGCAAGCACCUCUACGCCACUUUUCCUCAUCAUGCUCGAGGCUCAGGUCCAGUACGCCAGCCUGUGGAAACGCCUGGUCGAGUGCAUCAACGGGUUGGUGAAUGAGGCAAACUUCGACUGCAACCCUGGGGGUCUGUCCAUUCAGGCCAUGGACUCCAGCCACGUUGCCCUCGUGCACAUGCUGCUGCGCGACGACUGCUUUGUGAAGUACCAGUGCGAGCGCAACAUUAUUCUUGGCCUCAACCUUGCCUCCCUCUCCAAGGUGCUGAAGAUCGUCGACGGCAACGACAGCCUCAGUCUGCGUCAUGACGAUGACUCGGACGUGGUCACCCUCACUUCUGAGAACCCGGAGAGGACGCGCAAGUGCGAGUACCAGCUGAAACUGCUCGAAAUCGAGGCGGAGUCGAUGGGCAUUCCUGAGAUGGACUACCGCAGCACUGUCACACUCAACUCCGCCGAGUUCGCGAAGAUUGUGCGCGACAUGCAGGUCUUCGGCGACACUGUCACCAUCGCCAUCAGCAAGGAGGGCGUGAAGUUCAGCUCGUCGGGCGAUGUUGGGCAGGGCUACACAUUCCUUCAGGCCGCCGGCGUGUCGGAUCGCAGCGCCAAGUCGGAGGUGAAAUCAGAGGUGAAGGCGGAGGCCCGGGACGAGGACGAGCACGAGCCCAUCUCUCGCAGGUACAACAAGGCGGAGGGCGGCAACGGCGCCAUCGGGGUCGAGGUGGCGAUGGAGGAGCCCAUCACGCUCUCUUUUGCGCUCCGCUUCAUGGGCAUCUUUGCCAAGGGCUCGACGCUCAGCGAGCGCGUCACGCUCAAGUUUGCCAAGGACAGUCCUUGCAUGGUGGAGUACGGCAUCGACAACGUCGGUUACCUUCGUUAUUACCUGGCGCCCAAGGUGGACGAUGCGGAGUGAAAGCGACGUAUGGAUGGAUGUAGCAGAGCGAAGUGGUGAAAGGAGGGGGCUAUGUGCUACGAAGGCACCCCUCCCCCUCCCCUGUAGCGCGUGUGUGGUCAAGACGUGGUGUUGCCACACGAACCGUCCUCCCCCUCCUCCCCACGCUCCUCAUGCUUCCCGCCAUCACACCGACUGCUCGUGGCCGUCGUUGUUUUCUUUUUUUUUGCAUCGACUGGACUUUUGUGUCUGUGCGUUUACGUCUUGCCUCCCCCAUCCUGCAUGCUCACAGGGGUCAUCUCCCACCCCUCCUCAUUGGCCACCGCUUCCAUGAGCCCUCCCUCCCCCUCCCUCAAUUUCAUAGACAUAGAAAACCGCCUCUCUCACACAGACCUAGUACACCAUGACGCCUCGUUGUCGCUGGUGUACUGUUAUGCUCUGUUUGGCUUCCUGUCCACUUCAGCGGGAGGGCCGCCAGGCAGAGCGCGUCGCCACCGGGAAAAGGCGCUGAGGGGCGGGUGCGUGUUCAUCCUUGAGAAGGUGUGUGCGCUACACGCCCCCCUUCUUAUGCCCAACGGCGUGCUAAGAGGUGCGAAGAGAGGGAGGCGAAGGACGAGACGACACCCUUCAGAUGAAGUUGCACACGCGCAGAAGCGGACGCUUGGAGCGACGAGCAGCCAGAAAUGACGUGGAGUGGAAGACCGGAGGAGGGGGGAGGGGCACUAAUGCCUUUAAAUUGUGUAGGAACGUGCUUGCGAUACUGGUGUGUGUAUGUACGUGUGCCUGUGCGCACCCCCCCCCGUUCGCUCGCUCGCUCCCUGUCUGCGUGUACGCACAAAGCAUAGAAGUUGACUAAAAAGAGAGGCGUUCCUACAGAGAAGGUGGAGCCCCCCCCCCCCCUCCCCCAACAGCGGCGACGUGCGGCGCGUGCUUUGGGGAUCUUCCUUCUUCCUUGUAUCUGCUGCAUGCAUGGCUGAUGCGUGUGCGCUUGAGGUCGUCUCAAGACAGGGAGAGGGAGUGCACGAGUGAAGGUGUCGCGCGCGCGAUGAUGCUUGCUCGAUCCUUUCAUUUCCUUUUCUGCACGCUUUCUGUUUGUGGUCAUGGUGUUCGUGUGCCGCCGAACGCUUCGACAACGUCUUCGAUGAAUGGGGGGGGGUGAUCAUCCAACCUCAUGCGCAACCACGGCGCUAAAACAGAAGAACCACAAUCAAACCUUCGUGAUGUUAGUUGCCAGCAGUGCAGGCCCCUCCCCCUUCUCCCCAUGCACAGCAGCAAGGAAAGGUGACGGUGAGGCGGUCAGUGUAGGCGCUCUUCUUUCCCCUGCGCGUGUGGUGUAGUGCGAAGUUCGCCAGCGGAAGAUGGCGUGUGCCACCGCAAUGCCAAGGACUGUCGUGACUUACACGUGUUGCCUCUCCUUCUACUCUUCCCCCCGUACACGUCCGCCCGCGCCCUUUACUUGCUUACUUCUCGCACGCGUGCCCGUCUCUCUCUCGCUCUGUUUUUCGUUCCGACAUUGCACGCUGACAAG
rnacentral:misc_RNA from 1 species